GGGGAAUCAAUACAUGAGAGAUGGCCGGAAAGGGUAUUGCAGCGGCGCUCCUGCUGGCGCUGGUGGCGGCGGCGUGUCUUCAGACUUCGACUGCAGCAGGCUUAACAUGCGGGGACGCAGUUAACGCUCUGAUUCCCUGCGGAGGAUACCUACUCGGGACCGGACCCCCCACCCCGAGCCCACAGUGCUGCCAGAGCGCGAAGGCACUGAACAGGGCGGCCGGUACGGCGGCAUCACGGCGUUCCCUGUGUGAAUGCCUCGAGAAGACGGGUCCAUCAUUCAGUGUGUUGCCGACGAGGGCGAGGAACCUCCCUCCCUUAUGCAAACUCAAGCUCAACAUACCCGUCAGCCCCACUGCCGACUGCAGCAAAAUUGGAUGAAGGGUGGAGAAGACAAUCCACGCUAAUCAGCAAAUUUGAGAUUCGCUUUAUGUAAAAUAGCCAUCUAUAAUAAUGGCUAUAAUAAUGGCUGUUUGUUUUCCUUUUAUCUAUAUAUUGAACUACCCAG
rnacentral:misc_RNA from 1 species